AACAAGAGUAAACUAAUUAAGUUAUCUGGCUCAUGCCCGGAAUAUGAAAAAUGACUUUUCCUCUUGUUA
rnacentral:tRNA from 1 species